AGGCACUGCGGUAGCAUCCUUCUGCCCCUGCUCUGAGGGAACCCCGUUGGUAUUACAGCAGUGAAGAAGCUCCCACAGUUCUAGAUGCAGAGGUGAGUCUUUUUUCUUCAUUCCUCUAUGUGCUGAAAAAUCUGCAGGGUGGCCAAAUCAGCAAAACCACAACUGAUCGAUGCUCCGGGAAGAGCAGGAUUUUAAAUUAGAAGUGUGCACAGGAGCUAUAGAAAAACAGAGGUCGUAUGUGAAACAUCUGUUACAGUCAUUUCACCCGAACGGCAAGAUUGCUGUCCCUGCCCCACAGCUUCUUAAACUAA